UACGUAGGGUGCAAGCGUUAUCCGGAAUUAUUGGGCGUAAAGAGUGCGUAGGCUGUUUGACAAGUUUGGGGUUAAAUCUGAUCGCUUAACGAUCAAAACGUCUCAAAAACUAUCAAACUAGAGAAUGAUAUAGGCAACUAGAAUUCUGCAUGUAGGGGUAAAAUCCGUUGAUAUGCAGAGGAAUACCAAAAGCGAAGGCAGGUUGCUGGGUCAUUUCUGACGCUGUUGCAUGAAAGCGUGGGGAGCAAACAGG
rnacentral:rRNA from 1 species